UGGGGAAUUUUGGACAAUGGGCGCAAGCCUGAUCCAGCCAUGCCGCGUGCGGGAAGAAGGCCUUCGGGUUGUAAACCGCUUUUGUCAGGGAAGAAAUCUUCUGAGUUAAUACCUCGGGAGGAUGACGGUACCUGAAGAAUAAGCACCGGCUAACUACGUGCCAGCAGCCGCGGUAAUACGUAGGGUGCAAGCGUUAAUCGGAAUUACUGGGCGUAAAGCGUGCGCAGGCGGUUUUGUAAGACAGAGGUGAAAUCCCCGGGCUCAACCUGGGAACUGCCUUUGUGACUGCAAGGCUUGAGUGCGGCAGAGGGGGCAUGGAAUUCCGCGUGUAGCAGUGAAAUUGCGUAGAUAUGCGGAGGAACACCGAUGGCGAAGGCAAUCCCCUGGGCCUGCACUGACGCUCAUGCACGAAAGCGUGGGGAGCAAACAGGAUUAGAUACCCUGGUAGUCCACGCCCUAAACGAUGUCAACUGGUUGUUGGGAAGGUUCCUUCUCAGUAACGUAGCUAACGC
rnacentral:rRNA from 1 species